CGCGUUGGCGAUUGCGAAGAUGAUUCCGAUGGAUCCGCCAAAUUCCGGACCCAAAACCCUUGACCUAAUUUCCUCAAAAUAAUUUGUUUUUUUUCUAGAAUUUUUUUUAUGGCUUGAGUUUGGAAACUUACAUGACGAAAUAAGUGCCACCUGUAACAGACAUGGACAAGGCCGUCACCAAAGUAAUGAACGUUGAAAUGGCAAUGAUGACCAACGUUUCGCCUUUACGGAGAGUCGCAAGAAGAGCAUAACACCCCAGAUGCUCAUCAUGUUUCGGAUUAAAACGCCUUCGAUCCACCCAAAUUUGACAGUUUCCACA